UACGAAGGGGGCUAGCGUUGUUCGGAAUUACUGGGCGUAAAGCGCACGUAGGCGGACAUUUAAGUCAGGGGUGAAAUCCCGGGGCUCAACCCCGGAACUGCCUUUGAUACUGGGUGUCUUGAGUCCGGAAGAGGUGAGUGGAAUUCCGAGUGUAGAGGUGAAAUUCGUAGAUAUUCGGAGGAACGCCAGUGGCGAAGGCGGCUCACUGGUCCGGUACUGACGCUGAGGUGCGAAAGCGUGGGGAGCAAACAGG
rnacentral:rRNA from 1 species